rnacentral:rRNA from 1 species
CUUGGUCAUUUAGAGGAAGUAAAAGUCGUAACAAGGUUUCCGUAGGUGAACCUGCGGAAGGAUCAUUAUCGAAAUUAUUGGUGAGGGUUGUAGCUGGCCUUUCGAGGCAUGUGCACGCUCGAGCCCUUAAUCCACUUUACACCUGUGCACUUAAUGUAGGUCGCCCUUAAAAAAGGUGACCUAUGUCUUAUCAUCAACCCAUCGUAUGUCUCAUAGAAUGUAAUCGAUAUCCUCGCCCUAAAAAGGCGUUGAUAAACUUAUACAACUUUCAACAACGGAUCUCUUGGCUCUCGCAUCGAUGAAGAACGCAGCGAAAUGCGAUAAGUAAUGUGAAUUGCAGAUUUUCAGUGAAUCAUCGAAUCUUUGAACGCACCUUGCGCUCCUUGGUAUUCCGAGGAGCAUGCCUGUUUGAGUGUCAUUAAAUUCUCAACUCCAAGGGUUUCACGACCUUUCGGAGAUUGGACUUGGAGGUGCUGGCCGCAUAUUGGUCGGCUCCUCUCAAAUGCAUCAGCGGAAUUCAACCUUUGGCUUCCGGAUGUCAGUGUGAUAAUCAUGUUGCGCUGUCGUUUGAUCCCUCAGAGUCCGCUUAUAAUGGUCUUCGGACAAAAUCAUCAUCAAAUUUGACCUCAAAUCAGGUAGGACUACCCGCUGAACUUAAGCAUAUCAAUAAGCGGAGGA